rnacentral:rRNA from 1 species
UCNUGGGAUAACACUGACGUUCAUGCCCGAAAGCGUGGGUAGCAAGCAGGAUUAGAUACCCUGGUAGUCCACGCCCUAAACGAUGUCGAUUAGCUGUUGGGCAGCAUGACUGCUUAGUAGCGAAGCUAACGCGUGAAAUCGACCGCCUGGGGAGUACGGUCGCAAGAUUAAAACUCAAAGGAAUUGACGGGGACCCGCACAAGCGGUGGAUGAUGUGGAUUAAUUCGAUGCAACGCGAAGAACCUUACCUGGUCUUGACAUGUACGGAACCCUCCAGAGACGGAGGGGUGCCUUCGGGAGCCGUAACACAGGUGCUGCAUGGCUGUCGUCAGCUCGUGUCGUGAGAUGUUGGGUUAAGUCCCGCAACGAGCGCAACCCUUGUCAUUAGUUGCCAUCAUUAAGUUGGGCACUCUAAUGAGACUGCCGGUGACAAGCCGGAGGAAGGUGGGGAUGACGUCAAGUCCUCAUGGCCCUUAUGACCAGGGCUUCACACGUCAUACAAUGGUCGGUACAGAGGGUAGCCAAGCCGCGAGGCGGAGCCAAUCUCACAAAACCGAUCGUAGUCCGGAUUGCACUCUGCGACUCGAGUGCAUGAAGUCGGAAUCGCUAGUAAUCGCAGGUCAGCAUACUGCGGUGAAUACGUUCCCGGGUCUUGUACACACCGCCCGUCACACCAUGGGAGUGGGGGAUACCAGAAGUAGGUAG